UCAGUCUAAAUCAAAUCAAAUUUUAUUUGUCACAUACACAUGGUUAGCAGAUGUUAAUGCGAGUGUAGCGAAAUGCUUGUGCUUCUAGUUCCAACAGUGCAGUAAUAACCAACAAGUAAUCUAGCUAACAAUUCCAAAACUACUGUCUUAUACACAGUGUAAUGGGGAUAAAGAGUAUGUACAUAAAAGAUGUGAAUGAGUGAUGGUACAGAACGACAUAGGCAAGAUACAGUAGAUGGUAUCGAGUACAGUAUAUACAUAUGAGGUGAGUAUGUAAACAAAGUGGCAUAGUUAAAGUGGCUAGUGAUACAUGUAUCAGGUAGAGAUAGAGGUGUCUUCUCCAGGUGAGUCAGUCUACAGGUAGAGAUAGAGGUCUCUUCUCCAGGUGAGUCAGUCUACAGGUAGAGAUAGAGGUCUCUUCUCCAGGUGAGUCAGUCUACAGGUAGAGAUAGAGGUGUCUUCUCCAGGUGAGUCAGUCUACAGGUAGAGAUAGAGGUCUCUUCUCCAGGUGAGUCAGUCUACAGGUAGAGAUAGAGGUGUCUUCUCCAGGUGAGUCAGUCUACAGGUAGAGAUAGAGGUCUCUUCUCCAGGUGAGUCAGUCUACAGGUAGAGAUAGAGGUCUCUUCUCCAGGUGAGUCAGUCUACAGGUAGAGAUAGAGGUCUCUUCUCCAGGUGAGUCAGUCUACAGGUAGAGAUAGAGGUGUCUUCUCCAGGUGAGUCAGUCUACAGGUAGAGAUAGAGGUCUCUUCUCCAGGUGAGUCAGUCUACAGGUAGAGAUAGAGGUGUCUUCUCCAGGUGAGUCAGUCUACAGGUAGAGAUAGAGGUCUCUUCUCCAGGUGAGUCAGUCUACAGGUAGAGAUAGAGGUGUCUUCUCCAGGUGAGUCAGUCUACAGGUAGAGAUAGAGGUCUCUUCUCCAGGUGAGUCAGUCUACAGGUAGAGAUAGAGGUCUCUUCUCCAGGUGAGUCAGUCUACAGGUAGAGAUAGAGGUGUCUUCUCCAGGUGAGUCAGUCUACAGGUAGAGAUAGAGGUCUCUUCUCCAGGUGAGUCAGUCUACAGGUAGAGAUAGAGGUGUCUUCUCCAGGUGAGUCAGUCUACAGGUAGAGAUAGAGGUGUCUUCUCCAGGUGAGUCAGUCUACAGGUAGAGAUAGAGGUCUCUUCUCCAGGUGAGUCAGUCUACAGGUAGAGAUAGAGGUGUCUUCUCCAGGUGAGUCAGUCUACAGGUAGAGAUAGAGGUCUCUUCUCCAGGUGAGUCAGUCUACAGGUAGAGAUAGAGGU